rnacentral:rRNA from 1 species
CCUACGGGUGGCAGCAGUGAGGAAUAUUGGUCAAUGGGCGCGAGCCUGAACCAGCCAAGUCGCGUGAGGGAUGACGGUCCUAUGGAUUGUAAACUUCUUUUGUCAGGGAGCAAAAUACGCCACGCGUGCCUUUCUGUGAGUACCCUAUGAAAAAGCAUCGGCUAACUCCGUGCCAGCAGCCGCGGUAAUCCGGGGAUUGCGAGGGUACUCCGGAUUUAUUGGGUUUAAAGGGUGCGAAGGUGGGAGAUCAGGUCGGAGGUAAAAUUUAGAGGCUAAACCUGUAAUAGCCGUUGAUACUGGUGGUCUGGAGUGCGUGAGAGGUAGGCGGAAUUCGUGGUGUAGCGGUGAAAUGCUUAGAUAUCACGAAGAACUCCGAUUGCGAAGGCAGCCUACCGGAGUGCAACUGACGCUGAUGCGCGAAAGUGUGGGUAUCGAACAGGAUUAGAUACCCCUGUAGUC